rnacentral:rRNA from 1 species
AGAACGAACGCUGGCGGCAGGCUUAACACAUGCAAGUCGAACGGGCGUAGCAAUACGUCAGUGGCGGACGGGUGAGUAACACGUGGGAAUAUGCCUUUCGGUUCGGAACAACUCGGGGAAACUCGUGCUAAUUCCGGAUACGCCCUUACGGGGAAAGAUUUAUCGCCGAAAGAUUAGCCCGCGUUGGAUUAGCUAGUUGGUGAGGUAAUGGCCCACCAAGGCAACGAUCCAUAGCUGGUUUGAGAGAACGACCAGCCACACUGGGACUGAGACACGGCCCAGACUCCUACGGGAGGCAGCAGUGGGGAAUCUUGGACAAUGGGGGAACCCUGAUCCAGCCAUGCCGCGUGAGUGAUGAAGGCCUUCGGGUUGUAAAACUCUUUCGCGCGCGACGAUAAUGACGGUAGCGCGAGAAGAAGCUCCGGCUAACUUCGUGCCAGCAGCCGC